GGAUUAUAUAGAAUUGUCGAAUGCUGGUUUGAUGUUGGAAAGUCUGGAUUUGGAGUGUAUAAAUACAAGCUUGUUAGGAUAGAGAAUCAGGAAGAGAUGGGAAGUGCUAUUCUUCGUUUUGCACAGAAUCUUAGGAUCAGACCUUUGGAGGCAAGGCCUACUGGUUAUGUUACUCUCGAUAUAUCAAGGAAAAAAGAAAAUGUGCCAGUGUUUCUUUUCAACGAUAUUGAUGAUAAUCAUGAUCCGGCUUAUUUUGAAUAUCUAGUAAAACCUAUUUAUCCUCCACAUGUUUCUCUGAAUGUGCACAGUGGUAAUGGCUG
rnacentral:misc_RNA from 1 species